rnacentral:rRNA from 1 species
CAGGGAACUGAAACAUCUAAGUACCUGGAGGAAGAGAAAGAAAAAUCGAUUUCCUGAGUAGCGGCGAGCGAAACGGAAAGAGCCCAAACCAAGAAGCUUGCUUCUUGGGGUUGUAGGACACUCUAUACGGAGUUACAAAAGAAAGUUAUAAAUGAAGCGGUCUGGAAAGGCCCGCCAAAGACGGUAACAGCCCGGUAGUUGAAAUGGCUUUCCCUCCAGAGUGGAUCCUGAGUACGGCGGAACACGUGAAAUUCCGUCGGAAUCCGGGAGGACCAUCUCCCAAGGCUAAAUACUCCCUAGUGACCGAUAGUGAACCAGUACCGUGAGGGAAAGGUGAAAAGCACCCCGGAAGGGGAGUGAAACAGUUCCUGAAACCGUGUGCCUACAAGUAGUUAGAGCCCGUUAAUGGGUGAUAGCGUGCCUUUUGUAGAAUGAACCGGCGAGUUACGAUUUGUUGCAAGGUUAAGCGGAAAAAGCGGAGCCGUAGCGAAAGCGAGUCUGAAUAGGGCGCAUAAGUAACAGGUCGUAGACCCGAAACCAGGUGAUCUACCCAUGUCCAGGAUGAAGGUAAGGUAAUACUUACUGGAGGUCCGAACCCACGCACGUUGAAAAGUGCGGGGAUGAGGUGUGGGUAGCGGAGAAAUUCCAAUCGAACUUGGAGAUAGCUGGUUCUCUCCGAAAUAGCUUUAGGGCUAGCCUCGAGGUAAAGAGUCAUGGAGGUAGAGCACUGUUUGGACUAGGGGCCCUUCUCGGGUUACCGAAUUCAGAUAAACUCCGAAUGCCAUGUACUUAUACUCGGGAGUCAGACUGCGAGUGAUAAGAUCCGUAGUCGAAAGGGAAACAGCCCAGACCACCAGUUAAGGUCCCCAAAUAUAUGUUAAGUGGAAAAGGAUGUGGGGUUGCUUAGACAACCAGGAUGUUGGCUUAGAAGCAGCCACCAUUGAAAGAGUGCGUAAUAGCUCACUGGUCGAGUGACCCCGCGCCGAAAAUGUACCGGGGCUAAACAUAUUACC